rnacentral:rRNA from 1 species
CGAUAGCAAUACGAAAUACAUCACUAAGAACAUAAAGGGAAUGUUGGGGAUGCCUAGCGUAAGAUUGAUAGGAGGUCAAUUGAAAAGCCUCUGUAAAGUAUAAGUCAGGGGCGAUCCUAAGGAAAACCAUGUAGACGGUCUAGAACAUAGAUUCGUCUUUAUACGACCUUCUGAACCAAAACAUUGUAGUAAGAAGAGGAACGUAAAUCAACCGAGAAAUGCUUAGUAGCGGCGAGCGAAUAGCAUAUAGCCAUGUCUUAUAGACACACUAAAAAGGCAAUGAAUCUAAUACACUGUCUGCCUUUCGUUUAAAAAGCGGAAGGAAUGUGAUUAGGAUAAUCUAACCAGAGAAGGUGAGAGUCCUGUGGAAACAUCUUUUUACUGACAAUCCGAUACAUAUUCGUAUUCGGAAGUAGAGCGGAGGAAAGUCUGCUUGAAUAACGGGCAACGAUCCUCGAGGCUAAAUACAAUCUUACAGCGAUAGCGCACUAGUAACGCGAGUGAAAGGUGAAAAAGAAAGUCGAUGACAAUUGAAAUAGAACUGAACCAGCAUUCCUAUAAGCAGUCAGAGUACUUAAUUACUAUGAUGGCGUACCUUUUGCAUAAUGGGUCGCUCACUUUACGUCGUACGCAAGGUGAAAGCCGAAGCGAAAGCGACUAGACAUAUACAUGUUAUGGUGUAGUGUGCGGCGUAAGACCCGAAACGAAGUGAUCUUACCACGAGCAGGAUAUAAUGGUCCGAACCAGUUAACGUUGUAGAGUUAUUCGAUGACUUGUGGUAAGGGGCGAAAGGCCAACCUAACUUCGUGAUAGUUGGCUCUCCACGAAAUGCAUUGAAGUGCAGCCAGUGGUUUAAUAUACUUUAGGAUGUACGGCACUGGUACAUGAUUUGGCGGGGUGAAAUCCGUACUUACAUGUGCUAACCCCGGAAGGCCUAAAACUAAUUUCCACUGAGUGAGUCUUAUGGCGAUAAGGUCGUAGGAAAAGACGGAAACAGCCGUCAGUACAAGUUAACGCCCCGAAAUAGUGUUUAAGUGAAUAUAAGGAAGUUUGGUUCUCUAAACAGCUCGUAUGUGGGCUUGGAAGCAGCCACCAUACAAUGAGAGCGUAACAGCUCACGAGCCUAGUAAUGCUUUAGUCUAACUAAAGUGGGAAACAAGCGCCGAAGAUUAACGGGUCUAGAACACUUGCGGAUACUGUACCUUAGAUCAUAUUACAGAUCUAGGAGUAGUGGAGCGUACGAGUCGGUUGAAGAAUAGUCAUCGAUUAUUUGGACGUCCUGGUAGUGAGAAUGGCGACAUGAGUAAUGAAAUGCGUGUAGAAUCACGCACACCGAAUGCGAGAGGGUUCCAAUGGACAAGUUGUACUUCCUUGGGUUAAAACGGCCUCUAAGGGAUAAAAUACGUAUAUCAUUAUAUACUUUGCUGAUGAGAUUCUAGCAGAAAGUCCUAUAUUAUAGGGCCAAGAAAAUAAUGCUUGUAUAUUACCGUACUCUAAACCGACACAGGUUCGCUGGUAGAGAAUACUAAGGUGAACGAGCGAAUGUGAGUGAAGGAACUCGGCAAAAUGCGUCCGUAACUUUGAGGAGAAGGACGACCUAACUGAAGAUUAUGUCUUCAGAAGGUGGCACAAAAUCGGGGACUGGGACUGUUUACCUAAAACACAGAUCUUUGCUAAGGUUAAAACCGUUGUAUAAGGAUCGAAUUCUGGCCUAUGCUACUGAAUAACGAAAAUAGUGUUAAGCUAGGUUCGGAACAGGUAGUCAAUGCCAGCCCUAACUAUAAGGCUUCUAAGGUAGCGAAAUUCCUUGGCCACUAAUUAUGGUCCCGCAUGAAUGAGGUAACGAUGGUCCUACUGUCUCCACUCAUAGCUCGAUGAAAUUGAAUUAGCCGUGCAGAUGCGGUUUGCCUCCAGGUAAGCGGGAAGACCCCAUGCAGCUUUACUGCAGGAAGGUAUUGCUUGGGCUUGACUGGUUUAGAGGAAGUGGAUUACACGAAACUAUAACACCUUUUGACUGCUCGACUGGAGCUCUACGUAAAAUACGGACAGUGCCUUCUGGGUAGUUUUACUGGGACGGUAGCCUAACAAAUAGUAACUAAGGCUUCCAUAGGCAUGUUUAGUUUGAUUGGGAACCAAAUCAUCAUGUAAGAUGAAAACAAGCGCAAUAGUAUAUGCAUGCUACACUGAAAGACAGAUGUGUCGAUCAGCUGUUCCUACAAAUACGUGUAUAUUUGUAGACGCAGGGUAUAGUGAACCGGUACUUGAAUAUGGAAUUGGUAUCGUUCAACAGGCUGAUAGCAGGUGAGAGUCCAUAUCGAUCCUGCUGUUUCGCACCUCGAUGUCGACUCAGCACAUCCUUCUGCUGUAGCAGGUGGAAAGGGUCCGGCUGUUCGCCGGUUAAAGUGCUACGUGAGCUGGGUUCAGUACGUCGUAAGAGAGUACGGUUCCUACUUUCUGGAGGAAAAUUGAAUAAAUAUAACAGGUCUUCUCAGUACGAAAGGACUUGAAGGCAGAUACCUAUGGUGUACGAGUUGUGGAGAUUGUAUAUAUACAAUUAGCAUCGCUGGGUAGCUACGUAUCUAAACCAUAAGUGCUGAAGGCAUCUUAACCACGAAGCAGAGUUAUGGAUAUUCUCAGAUAGCUCGAGGAAGACUACCUCGUUGAUAGCCCACACGUGUACAGACUGAAAGGUCAGUGCUUAAUGCACGAAUAGCGUAGUGGCACUAAUUGCUAUUAGU